ACGUCUCUUACCUCGCUCGGUCCAUCGUUUCCAUCGAUUGAUCUUGAGCUGGAUGCUGUCCGCUUCUUCUAGUGGUCCACGCAUGAGACAAGAGCAAUGCCGACUUUGGCACUGGCCGAUCUUUGAGUACGAUCCCAUGUUUUGCGAUAUGGUGGGUGUUGUAAUUUAUGCGGCAAGACAU
rnacentral:snoRNA from 1 species